GAAAUGCGAAAAGUAAUGCGAAUUGCAGAAUUCAGCGAGUCAUCGAAUCUUUGAACGCACAUUGCGCUCACCGGCAUUCCGGUGAGCAUGCCUGUCCGAGCGUCUUUUCAAGCACAUUGAGCAUCGCCCACGGUCGUCUCCUUUUCCCUCCUUCUGGUUCUCAGAGGGUUUGGGGUGGUCUCUCAAGGGGAGGGAGCGACCGAGCUCAGUCUUGGGCCAGACUUCUCCACCCGAACGGGUGAGAAGGCCCUGAAUUGACGAAGGGAAGGACACCGCAGUCGUGCCGACUUUCACCUGAGCGUGGAACCGAAGCGACUGAGGGGUCUCGACCCGUCCGUGAGACGAACCAACGGGGACACAGUCACCCAAAGUUCGACCUCGGAUCAGGUAGGGUUACCCGCUGAACUUAAGCA
rnacentral:misc_RNA from 1 species